rnacentral:rRNA from 1 species
ACUCCUACGGGAGGCAGCAGUGGGAAUAUUGGACAAUGGGGGCAACCCUGAUCCAGCAAUGCCGCGUGUGUGAAGAAGGCCUGCGGGUUGUAAAGCACUUUCAGUUGUGAGGAAGUUUCAUUGAUUAAGAGUUGGUGAAAUUGACGUUAGCAACAGAAGAAGCACCGGCUAACUCUGUGCCAGCAGCCGCGGUAAUACAGAGGGUGCAAGCGUUAAUCGGAAUUACUGGGCGUAAAGGGCACGU